rnacentral:lncRNA from 1 species
CUAAAGUUUGUACCAAAUGGGGUCCACGUCUAUGUAGCUCACCCUCGCUUUUUAGAUUCACUUUUAAAAAUGACAUAUGAUUUAAUAGCUACAGACAGAAAGAAGAAAGAUCCUGCAUGCUCCCCUGUUUUUCUUGCAAAAGAGAAACUUCUAUAUCCAAACUAUAAUAAGACUUGACAGCAGGGCAAAGCAAGGUGAUAUAGUUAAAAUAAAAAGGAUUUGAAGUCAAGAAAGAAGAUACAAAUCUGAGGCAUGGGGAUGAUUCAAUGAGAGAAUGUAGGAGAACGGGAGAAGUACUCUGCUUACUGGUGGUUGGCUUCUAACUGGAGAUGCUCGCAAGUCUAGGGAAGAAUACCACUUAAAAUUCUUAUUCUUUUUUGCUUUCUGGUCAGUCAGUUUCAGCAAUCAUUUUCACACUGUGGUAGCUAAUGCUUUCAAGAUCUAAAACAUGGGCUAAUGAUAAACAAUGCUACUUACUGACACACACACAAAAAAACAAGGCUGACUUUGUUUACCAUUAUUUAGUGACAAUUCUAUCCACUGAAGCCACUCAGGAGUUGUGAAUAUCCUUUCCUGGAUGUGAGGCUAAAGUGCCACUGAAACUAUUCAAGGUUGUCAGGAUGUGUCAAAAAACGAUC